UUCAGCCAGUCUCAGGGGAUCCAGCAGCUGCUGCAGGCCAAGAUGCAGCCACUGAGAAGGUGUCCAAGUGUGAGCAAAAACAUAGAGGCUGAAGCAGGCCAAGGAAGCAGCUGAGGCUUCAACUGCUGAACUGAAACUGAACAGCACUGCCUGCAGAGGGAGAAAGAGUUCAAGACCAAGGAAGCUGCAGCCCUGGAAUCUCACAGCAGCCUUGGCACUGAAGUGGCACAGGAGGGUCAGAAGAAGAGGACCAGCCUCCAGAACUACUUCCAGCAGAAUGGGGGUGAAGGCUUGGCUAGUCUCUUGGCUUUUGUCUGUGACACCUGGACAGAAAUCCAUGAAAACUGCUGCAUAA
rnacentral:lncRNA from 1 species